rnacentral:lncRNA from 1 species
CCCCCACUUUGCAGUAUAUUGAACCCCCCACUAUAGACCUCUCAUUUCAAAAAUUCUAGCUAUACUAACCCCUUAACAUAGUUAUAAUACUCCAACAAACUACUUAUUCAACAUAGUUAUAAUACUCCAAUAAGUAGUUUGUAUGUAUUUUACUCUUGAAAAAUGUUUUGAAAGUUUUACUUUGCCAUGGUACUUUGACCCCCUGUAGUAUAUUGAACCCCCUACUAAAAACCUCCAAUUAAAAAAAAUGAUAGCCAACAAAUUGUAAAUUAGAUUAUCUGCAAUACUAUUUAUCAAAAACAGGGGGGUUAAAAAUACCAUAUGGGAAAAAUGACCCUGGGGUAACUUUUUAAGGGGUUCAAAAUACCAUAUGACACCGGUCAGGAACAACAGCAUUUGCAUGUGAUUUGAUGCAUAUUUUUCUACUUCUAAAAAGAAUCUAGAGGCCCCAUUAUGUAUGGAAUUGGUACAAGAAUGUUUUACACCCUUAGCCUUUUCAUAUUCUAUUUGAGGAAAAAACAAACUUUCAUAUAAGUUUAUAAAUACGUUGAAACAAACACCUCCAAAAGGUUUAUGCUUGGCUAUUACCAUCCCUAAUGCUUUAUUUGCUGAAUAUGCAAUGGCUUUUGCAGUUAUAGUCUAAAUGCUCAUUUAAAACUUGACAAUUACAAUUAACAAAUACAUCUGAUCUAGGUAUAGAUGGUGGUCAAACUUUUUACCAUAACACUUUGUUUGUAAGAAUGUCUUCAUAUCAUGAAGAUAAAGCAUUUAAAAAAAGUUGUUGCACUUGUCAUAGUUUGUCAUAAUAACAUCAGCAUAUAAUAAAUUUCAGUUUUUUUUUUUUCACCAAUUUCUAUUUGGCAGUCUAAGAACUCAAGAAAUGAAACUAAAUUAUUAAUAUAGAAGACAUCCUUGUUUCGAGCCACAGUUUACAUCAAUCCACUCUGUGAAAUGAUUAUUUAUUCCUAAAAACAUAACACAUUUGUAAAAAUGUACUUA